UCCCGCCGGACCUGACUGCUAUCGGAUUGAUACUAAGCCAUGCGAGUCUUUGUAGUAAUACAAGGCAUACGGCUCAGUAACACGUAGUCAACCUACCCUAUGGACAAGAAUAAUCUCGGGAAACUGGGCAUAAUUCUUGAUAGAUCAUAAUGCCUGGAAUGGUUUAUGGUUAAAAUGAUUCGUCGCCAUAGGAUGGGACUGCGGCCUAUCAGCUUGUUGGUGAGGUAAUGGCCCACCAAGGCGAUUACAGGUACGGGCUCUGAGAGGAGAAGCCCGGAGAUGGGUACUGAGACACGGACCCAGGCCCUAUGGGGCGCAGCAGGCGAGAAAACUUUGCAAUGUGCGAAAGCACGACAAGGUUAAUCCGAGUGAUUUCUGCUAAAGAAAUCUUUUGCCAGUCAUAAAACCACUGGUGAAUAAGGGGUGGGCAAGUUCUGGUGUCAGCCGCCGCGGUAAAACCAGCACCUCAAGUGGUCAGGAUGAUUAUUGGGCCUAAAGCAUCCGUAGCCGGCUUUGUUAGUUUUCGGUUAAAUCCAUGUGCUCAACGCAUGGGCUGCCGAAAAUACUGCAUAGCUAGGGAGUGGGAGAGGUAGACGGUACUCAGUAGGAAGGGGUAAAAUCCUUUGAUCUAUUGAUGACCACCUGUGGCGAAGGCGGUCUACCAGAACACGUUCGACGGUGAGGGAUGAAAGCUGGGGGAGCAAACCGGAUUAGAUACCCGGGUAGUCCCAGCUGUAAACGAUGCAGACUCGAUGAUGCAUUGGCAUAAUAGCCAGUGCAGUGUCGCAGGGAAGCCGUUAAGUCUGCCGCCUGGGAAGUACGUACGCAAGUAUGAAACUUAAAGGAAUUGGCGGGGGAGCACCACAAGGGGUGAAGCCUGCGGUUCAAU
rnacentral:rRNA from 1 species